rnacentral:lncRNA from 1 species
AAGACUGUGGAGAAGGACAGGAAGCAGACCGCAGGCCACACCCCGGGAGGGAAAUAUGUCGCUGGCCCUGGAGUUUGACCGGAAGAAGGCCUGGUGCCCAGAGGAGCACGCAGAGCAGAAGCCGUGGGGCGGGCGCCCUGGUGCAGGGUGUGAGGCUCACACGUGGGGCAGAGAGAUACAGCGAGGGUGCAGAUGGAGCAGCAUGCAGCGGUCACCUGGGCGACUACCUGAAUCCCGGGAGAAAGAUUUCCCAUGUAGGCAGAGAAGCAGAGCCAGUCCCAGCACCUGAAAUGAAGCUCCCCCGCUGCCAUCCCAAGCUCCUAGGGCAGAGAAGGUGACUGUGUGGGCACCAGAAGCACCCCCCCACCAUGGAAAUGAGAAGACUUAUAAACAAGCCUCAAAAACAGACUUCUGGAUCACCUACAGCAACCCCAAAGGGAAACAAGAUGGAACAAUCUGAUACUCAACCACCUGGACUCUCUGAACUGGCAACAAAAGAGGACCUGGGAAAAAUGAAAUCAGAAAUAAUUACUCAAAUAACGGCAAAGAUUUUGCUCAUGGUGCAAGACAUGGUUAAUAAAUCUAGAGAGGACACAGAUAAAAAAAUAGAGGAGCUGAGGAGCAUGAUGGAAUCCCAACAUAGGAAACAAAUGGAAUUCAUAAAACAGAUACAAACAGAUGUUUAGGAGAUUAAAAAAACUCCAUCAAAAGUCUGCACAGCAGAAUGAACCAAUGUGAGGAUAGAAUUUCAGAUAUAGAGGAAAAGAUUGCAAUUAGUGACCAGGAAAAGAAAAAUUGCUUUAAAAUUGUAAGCGAACACGAGAAAUCAAUCCAGCAGCUGCUAGAUGAUACAAAGAAGAAUAACAUAAGACUGAUUGGAGUCAAUGAAGAAAGAGGAGAGAGUGCAGAUGACAUAAAAAAAAAAAAAACUGUUCACAGAAGUGAUGGUAGAAAACUUCCCAAGGAGGGGAAAAGAACUUGACAUAUAGAUAAGUGAGGCAUAUAGGACUCCAGCUAGCCUUAAUCAAAAAAAUCUACACAUAGGCAUAUAAUAGUUAGGAUUCCAGAAAUCCAACAGAAGAACAAAAUUCUACAAGUAGUGAGAGAAAAGAAACAAAUCACAUACAAAGGAAAGCCCAUCAGAAUCACAGCAGACUUCUCAGUGCAAACCCUCAAGGCAAGAAGAGCUUGGAGUGAUGUAUUUCAAGCCCUAAAGGAAAACAGCCUCCAACCCAGAUGGAUGUACCCUGAAAAACUAUCUUUCAAAACUGAUGGAGAAAUAAGAUACUUUCGUGAUAAAGAGCACCUCAGGAACUUGAUGAAUAUCAAACCGGCACUCCAAAAAAUUUUAGACAAUACCCUAGGAAAAGACAAUGAGGAUCACAACCCCAGGAAACCCAGCAGAAUGAAUCCAUUGGGUGUGAGAAAUUAAAAGCAAAGGGGGAGAACCCAAC